rnacentral:lncRNA from 1 species
UCUCUCUCUGUCUCUCCUGCCACCAUGUGAAGAAGGUGCUUGUUUCCCCUUUGCCUUCCGCCAUGAGUGUAAGUUUCCUGAGGUCUCCCAGUCAUACUGCUGGUUAAGCCUGCAGAACGGUGCUGCUGACAGCCAUCGUGUGCUGCGGAGGAAGAUUGCCUGAGAAUGGAGCCAUUCAGGAGGAAAUGGGGCAGAGAAAUAAAGAGAAAUCAAAUCCCAUCUUUUCAGUCCCGCUUCCCUCACUCCCUCAUCCAUUCUUCCUGGCAGACUAUUCAGUUGUGCUUUUUAAGAUUUAUUCUGUUUUUGUUUUUCACCUAAGACGGUUUAGCUUGUUUGUUUUUCUCUUGUUUGCAACCAGUGUGUUCUAGCGGUUAUUACGAAUUUAAUAGACUUUAUACAAGAUUUUGUAAAGGGCAGAAAACUCAAGAUUGGACAGUGACUUUCUCCUAGGACACUAUCUUGCCGGUGCCCUCACCUCAGUCUCCACCCUGGAUCUCCGAUUUUGUCCCUGAAACUUCAAAUUCUUUUCCUUCAAUUAUACAAUGCAGCAGCUCUC